GCACAGAAUAUAGUAAAGAAGGCGAGGCGAUUCGAAGAGACAAUUGGCAAAAUAAAAACGUGGGGGAGAGACCCCAAAGCUUGACUGCCCCUUCCCUCGUUGGGCCACUUCAAGUUCUCUUUCCUUCUCCAAAGGCCAUUUUUUCUUUUUCCUUUUCGGCCACACACAUAACCUACAGUACUGUUUACGCCUUUAAGAGGUAGAUAACCGAGAGGAAUGUAUACGUUAGAUUAUAUUUACAGAAUUGAUUAUGGCUAAGAAAUAUCAGAAAUCUUAACUAGAGCACGUAUCUUGUAACAACAUGUCUCUAUGUGCGUGAUAGGAUAUGUAUUGUGACAAUGUUUACUAAUCUUGACCAAAAGUUGUAUUAGUAUUAUAUGCUUGUGAUAAUGUUCAUCUACCAUUUGUUUAUGUAGUCAGUUAAAACCCUCGCAAGCCACCCCAAAAUAUAUAUGUAGAUAUGAUGAUGAUCUUAUCAUCACUACAUCUAUUGAUAUGUCAGUAAAACCCAAUUCAUUCUUUGCCGCUAAGCUUACUGUCCACGUGAUUUUCAAGUGGUGCCAUUUGCUUCUUCGGGAAAUAUGCUAGUGAUAAUGUUCAUCUACCAUUUGUUUAUGUAGUCAGUUAAAACCCUCGCAAGCCACCCCAAAAUAUAUAUGAAGAUAUGAUGAUCAUCAUCAUAUCAUCACUACAUCUAUUGAUAUGUCAGUAAAACCCAAUUUUUGCCGCUAAGCUUACUGUUCACGUGAUUUUCAGGUGGUGUCAUUUGCUCCUUCGGGGAAAACAACCAACAAGCAGACUUGUAUGAUCUCAACUCUCAAGACAAGAGUUUUGGAGGGGAGCGGGGGAGGACAGGGCAAAACUUUUCACACUCGGAAAAUAACUCAACAUCAUAAUACAAAAAAAAAAUUAACGAAUAUUGCAAGUUAACUUUUACGAAUCCAAAUAAUAUUAAUCGCUGACACCAUAUUUUUCACUAUAAAUCAAGAGACUCAUUUAUAUCAACA
rnacentral:lncRNA from 1 species